rnacentral:rRNA from 1 species
UGCCAGCCGCCGCGGUAAUACGUAGGUGGCAAGCGUUGUCCGGAAUUAUUGGGCGUAAAGCGCGCGCAGGCGGUUUCUUAAGUCUGAUGUGAAAGCCCACGGCUCAACCGUGGAGGGUCAUUGGAAACUGGGGAACUUGAGUGCAGAAGAGGAGAGUGGAAUUCCACGUGUAGCGGUGAAAUGCGUAGAGAUGUGGAGGAACACCAGUGGCGAAGGCGACUCUCUGGUCUGUAACUGACGCUGAGGCGCGAAAGCGUGGGUAGCGAACAGGAUUAGAUA